UACGUAGGUGGCAAGCGUUGUCCGGAUUUACUGGGUGUAAAGGGCGUGUAGCCGGGCUGACAAGUCAGAUGUGAAAUCCGGGGGCUCAACCCCCGAACUGCAUUUGAAACUGUUGGUCUUGAGUAUCGGAGAGGCAGGCGGAAUUCCUAGUGUAGCGGUGAAAUGCGUAGAUAUUAGGAGGAACACCAAUGGCGGAGGCGGCCUGCUGGACGACAACUGACGGUGAGGCGCGAAAGCGUGGGGAGCAAACAGG
rnacentral:rRNA from 1 species